rnacentral:rRNA from 1 species
UGGGGAAUAUUGCACAAUGGGCGCAAGCCUGAUGCAGCCAUGCCGCGUGUGUGAAGAAGGCCUUCGGGUUGUAAAGCACUUUCAGCGGGGAGGAAGGCGGUGAGGUUAAUAACCUCAUCGAUUGACGUUACCCGCAGAAGAAGCACCGGCUAACUCCGUGCCAGCAGCCGCGGUAAUACGGAGGGUGCAAGCGUUAAUCGGAAUUACUGGGCGUAAAGCGCACGCAGGCGGUCUGUCAAGUCGGAUGUGAAAUCCCCGGGCUCAACCUGGGAACUGCAUUCGAAACUGGCAGGCUAGAGUCUUGUAGAGGGGGGUAGAAUUCCAGGUGUAGCGGUGAAAUGCGUAGAGAUCUGGAGGAAUACCGGUGGCGAAGGCGACCCCCUGGACAAAGACUGACGCUCAGGUGCGAAAGCGUGGGGAGCAAACAGG